ensembl:lncRNA
UCCCCCACUGAUUCAGUAGCAGGAAGGAGUUUUGAGGUGUCGCGUUGUAUUCCCUCCCCCACUGAUUCAGUAGCAGGAAGGAGUUUUGAGGUGUCGCGUUUGAUUUCUUCCCCCACUGAUUCAGUAGCAGGAAGGAGUUUUGAGGUGUCGCGUUUUAUUCCCUCCCCCCCACUGAUUCAGUAGCAGGAAGGAGUUUUGAGGUGUUACGAUAUCAUAGAGCCUUUUAGCGUCACAGAAUACCAGUCUACUGAUAGCAUUAAUACAACGUUUGUUAGUUUGUACAUAUACCAGUAAUAGGAUCCAUGUUUCUCUAUCAUGUCUUUUACAUUUCUAGGAGAAGUUGUUGUUUUAACUAUUUUUUUUCAGAUGAUCUGUCUGUCUGUGGAAGAUUUAUUGUUAAUAAUUGUAAAGGAUCAAAAAUAAAUGGGA